rnacentral:rRNA from 1 species
CGGGGGGGGCAAGCGUUGUUCGGAAUUACUGGGCGUAAAGGGUUCGUAGGUGGCCGACUAAGUCAGACGUGAAGUCCCUCAGCUUAACUGGGGAACUGCGUCUGAGACUGGCCGGCUCGAGGGCAGGAGAGGAACGUGGAAUUCCAGGUGUAGCGGUGAAAUGCGUAGAUAUCUGGAGGAACACCGGUGGCGAAGGCGGCGUUCUGGACUGCAUCUGACACUGAGGAACGAAAGCCAGGGGAGCAAACGGGAUUAGAUACCCCGGUAGUCCUGGCCCUAAACGAUGAAUGCUUGGUGUGGCGGGUAUCGAUCCCUGCCGUGCCGCAGUUAACGCGUUAAGCAUUCCGCCUGGGGAGGACGGUCGCAAGGCUG